rnacentral:lncRNA from 10 species
GCCGGGCGCUCGGGUUUCAGCCGCCGCUCCUCCGCGCCCCGCCCGCGCCUGGCCCGCUCGCCGGCGCCGGGAGAGACCUCGUAACGGAACUGGGACGCCAGCGCUGCAUUGUGGGAGCUUUUAAAGCGGCGGGGAGCUCGGCGCGACCCUCGGGCCCACCGGGCCACGCUCGCCCGGCCCGCGACGCCCCCCCGCUGUCGCCUGGCCCGCGACGCACCGAGGCCUGAGGACCCGAAAGCCGGGCGCGGGGAGAUGACCGGUGGCUCGUGACGGUCCCACGGGCAAAAUCUUCCAUCGCCCGGGGCUGAGACUUGUCAAACUGCCCUCUACGGUCACCCGGAAAGUAGGAGGCUUUUUCUGCAGAGGGGAAAAAAAUCAAAAAGAGCCGUUCCAUCCCCCCUCCAAGGACUGGGUUUGAAUUGCUUUUCAUCUGCAGUGGCUGUGAUUCAGCGUCCCUCUUAGCAGCAGGCAAUGACAGAGGCAGGAGAGGGGAAAAAAAAAAAGAAAGAAAGAAAAAACACAGCAAAUGAAUCAAACGGACGUAGCAGGCAAGAGUGUGGUUAUCGUUGGACCAGGAUUCAGGAUCUGACUGAGUAGCUGACUCUUAAUCCAGUUUGUGUUGAUCACCAGGAGGAUCUGGACCUCAGUAUUACCACAUCUAGAGGUGAUAUGCCAACUCCACCUUUGCCUUCCACCAUGUUUGGAAGCUCCCUGAGGCCUCACCAGGAGCAGAUGCUCGUCCCAUGCUUCCUAUAAGCCUGCAGAACUGUGAGCCAUAAUAAACUGUGAAUUAUAAAUUGCCUUUAUAGCAAUGCAAAUGGACCAGUACAGAUGGGAUGCUGGGAAGACAGUUGUUUCCACCUUCAGUAAAGUCCGUGGAACACAGUUGUGACUAUAUUCUAGGCCAGCCAAGAUGCUUGUACUCAGAAAGGAGUGGUCUCAGGACCAUAAGAAAGUGAAAAAAUAAAAAUAAGAAAAUAAAGAAGGGAUUGUCAAUGAAUCAGAAUUCAUCAAGGUCAAAGUCUUAGGAAAUUCCUUCAUGAGGAAGUCUAGGGGGGCUAUGGAAAUGAAAUUUUUAAACAAAUAGGUAUGUGGUGCUGGCAGGAAUAAAUUAUGGACUUAUGAAUAUAACAUAAGAUUCUUUAUUACCUGGUCUCACCCGUCUUUCCACCUCUGCCCCCCUUCUUGCCCGACUCUGUGUAUCACCCAUAAUAAACUACUUACAGCUUCCUAGUGUUAAAUUUACCCUAAAGCUGCCUCCUUCAAUAUUUUAAGUUUAACCUAAAGGUUCUUCAUACAUAGUGAACUAUAACCCAAUGAUUAAACAGAUUGUAACCUACUCUUGUACCAGUCACCAAGUUUCAGCCAAUCAGAGGUGGCCAACUGUUCAAACCAUGCUCAAAUAAGGGAAAUGUCAUGGUGUAACUAAUCCAGCUGUUUCUAUACCUUACUUCUGUUUUCUUAGGUCACUUUCCUUUUUUGUCCAUAAAUUCUCUCCAACCACUCAGCAGCACUGGAGUCACUCCAAAGCUAUCCUGGUUCAGGGGUCUGUCUGAUUCACAAGUCAUUCUUUGUUCAAUUGAGCUCUGCUAAAUUUAAUUUGUCUGAAGUUUUUCUUUUAACAGAUGGUGUCAGAAAUGGACCCCAAAGUAGAGCUCCCAGUGAUCCCCCAGGAGCACUGAGUGACCACAAGGGGUACCUGCUGGGCCCGUCCUCUCGCAGUGUCCACUGCUCUCUUACAGCAACUGGAGAUUGUGGCUGCAUUCUCUCUCAGAUUCUGAAGCUCCAUACAUUGCCGUUUUCAGCUGUUCAAGCUUGCUUGAGCAAAUUUUUGAUCUUAGCUGAGUUUGGAAGUCGAUAGACAUUGGACUGGGUCCAGGAUUUGAUUGGAUCUGAUAAUUAACUGGCUUGGAUCCAGUUAGAUGCCUCGGUUAUCUGACUGGGUCAGAUAGAAACCGCCAGUAAAUAUUUUAAUAACAAUACUGCAGGGGUAUGAACUCUGGCUUUAAGAAACUCACAAGGAAUUUUAUGUUCUAUACCCUUUGUUUCUUUUUCUUGUGUGCUUCGGUCAGGAAAAAUCAUUAGUCAAGUUAAUCAAGGGGAUCUGAGAGCCAAAUACAAGAUUCAACGUAAAAAUGGAAUCCUUGGGCUAGGCGUGGUGGCUCAGGCCUGUAAUCCCAGGACUUUGGGAGGCUGAGGCAGGCGGAUCACCUGACCUUAGGAGUUCGAGACCAGUCUGGCCAACAUGGUGAAACCCCGUCUCCACUAAAAAUACAAAAAUUAGCCAGGCGUGGUGGUGGGCACCUGUAAUCCCAGCUACUUUGGAGGCUGAGGCAGGAUAAUCACUUGAACCCAGGAGGCAGAGGUUGCAGUGAUCUGAGAUUGCACCACUGCACUCCAGCCUGGGCAAAAGAGCGAGACUCCAUCUCAUAAAUAAAUACAUAAAUAAAUAAAGAAAUCCUUAAUUUCUGCGGAACUGAGUGCUCUACCUUCUGGCUACACCUACGUAUACCUGUAUGAGGUAUAGGCCCUGGAAGCAGCAAACACUUACAGAAAUGGUGAAAUCUUACUAAAGGUAAUCUAAAGUUAUGGUGGAACAUCCCAAAUGAACAACACUGCACUUUAGGAAGUACAUAUAAAAAUGAAGUCUCCCAAUUUAGUAUUAUUCAGGGAUGGCUGUUGAAGUUCAGAAGCUUCUAAAAAGAUUCCAAUAAUUUUACAGAUUCUUUUAAAAGAUUCUUUGUAAAAGGCAAAUAAAAAGCUUAAGUGACUAAUCAGAAAAAUUAGGUCUUCUAACCUUUUGUCAUUGUUACUGUCUUGCCCUGAAAGGGAAAAGAAAGCUGGAUAAAGUAUUUAUAGAAGAUAGAGGACCUGUGGUGGCUCAUGCCUGUAAUCCAAGGUGGAAGGAUUGCUUGAGGCCAGAAGUUCAAGACCAGUCCAAGCAACAUAGCAAGGCCCCAUCUCUACAAAAAAUGAAAAUAAAAUUAGCCGAGCGUGAUGGCUCAUGCCUGUAGUUCUAGCUUCUAGAGAGGCUGAGGCAGGAGGAUUGCUUGAGUCCAGGAGUUCAAGAUUACAGUGAGCUAUGGUCACACCACUGCACUCCAGCCUGGGUGAUGGAGUGAGACUGUCUCAAUAAAAAGACAAAAAGGCUGGCCAGGGGCAGUGGUUCAUGCCUGUAAACCCAGCACUUUGGGAGGCAAAGGCAGGAGGAUUGCUUAAGCCCAGGAAUUUGAGAUCAGCCUGGACAACAUGGUGAGACCCCCAUCUCUACAAAAAUUUUUUUUAAAAGUUACCCAGGCAUGGUGUUGCACAUCUGUGUUCCCAGCUACUGGGGAGGCUGAGACGGGAGGAUCACUUGAGUCCAGGAAGUUGAGAGGUUGAGGCUGCUGUGAGCUGUGAUUGUGCCACUGCACUUUAGCCUGGACAACAGAGGGAGACCCUGUCAACAACAACAACAACAACAAAAAAGCAAAACAUCAUAGGCUGCAGAAAUAAACUUUCUUGUCAAUUGUGUCUUUAACCAUGACCAUUUUGAGUCAUUUCCACAGUGAGUUGCCUAAUUUUGAUGCAUUUCUGAAAACUCUUUAUAAGCAAGUAAAAUCCUAGAGAAUUGUGCCUUCAAGGAGACUCAUGGAAAGGAUGGAAAGAACUCUUGAAUACAUGUUUCUGAUAGCUUUAUGAUCAUAUCAUUUGGACUGGGUAAGAAUUCCCAGAACUCAUGAAGAGACUGACUAUUUAUUAAUCCAAGCAGGAAAAGAAUUAAUUGAAUACCAAGGAAAUACUGUGCCAGAGAUUUUCAUGCUAAAUCAGUCAGCACCGAAAUCGUUAAGAUGUGUAGUUUGAAUGAACUCCAUGAUCCUAGUCAAAUUUCCUAUGAUGACCCAUUUAAUAAACAGUGCUAUGCACCUGAAUUGGAGAAACAGAAUUGAUACUUAAAUCCAAUGUUAAUCAUAGAUUCAUGGAAAGCCUAAAUGGCUGCUUGGGUCUUCCUGAGCCCUUAAAGCUUCCAUUAUUAAAGGCUCUGCACUUUAUAAGUUAUCACUGAAGAGAGAAAAUGAUCCAGAUUUAAAAUACACAUAUUGGUGUGGUGAAUGUUCUAAAUUGCGAAAAUGGUUUAUGACCAACAUUUGGUUUGUCAUGCUCACAAUCCUGGAAAUACAUUCAAAACUUCAGGUACAUUUCUGCUACCUGAUGGGCUAUUUGAAUAUAUAGAGAGGGAUUUCAUUCAAUUGCCAUUUUCAUUGCAUGUUUUUUGGUUGUAUAGAAGCUUUCCCAUGCAAGGAGGCUGAUGCUGUUAUUACAGUAGCUAAAAGGUUAGUAGGAAAUGUGUUUUCCCCCAUGGGGCAUUCCUGGAGAAAUCUCUAGCAAUAAAGGUACUUGUUUGACUGGACAAGUUGUAAAACAGUUUAAUAAGGUUUUUUUUAGGUGUCAUAGCAUUAGGCAAAGCUAACUGAAUUGACUGGAUUGUCAUAGUCAAACAUAUUGCAGAUCCGCUUCCAAUAGAAGACAAUGAAAUAGUCACUGGAAAGCCUGUGCUCCUAAUUUUAGAACCUCAUGUAUCUUCUGCUCCUAAACUCUGAUAGGACUAAAUGCUGUGAGGCCUCAAUGCAUUAUGUUAAUGUGUAUUUUCACCAGGUCAAGGAAGCUUUUCCUGAUCCACUAACUAAGGACAAUCAAACCCUUCAUGAUCUAGAAUCUGGAGACUGUGUCUUCUGGGAAUAGUAUCAGAGAAAGACUGCCCUUACUGCCCACAUGUAGCAAAACUUUGAGACGUUGAAUUAUGGGUCCAUAAUCUCACAACUCAGAGGGGCACCUCUAGACUCUUGGAACUGUAUAUCUAUUGGAGACUUUAAGGUAAAGCUGAACAGAGAGACGUUUUUCUCCAGAAGCAGACAGCACCAUAGUCAUGGACAGCUUUCCCAAGAUCACAGAUCAAGACUUCUCUGCCGUCAUGAGACUCAUAACCUCUUAAUUUUUUCUUGCUUAUGCUUCUGUGAACAAUAGAAUUGGAAAAGGGGUGGUCCCGCGUGCACCCAUAGGGUAUACUUUUAUUUGUGGAGGAUUUUGCUGCCAACCUUAUACAUGGGCAAACUUAUGCCUUCAUGGAUGGAAGAUAAAGGGCUAAUAUGGGUUAGAAAUUUUAAUGGUACCUUUGUUUCUCCAUAAUCAUUCAGAAACAGAACACUGGUCCACUCUUGUUAACCUACAUCAUAGGUUGAAGAGAACAUUGCCAGGAGGCCUUCAUCCUUCCAGAUGGGCACCAUUUGUUGGGUCUUUUUCCGUGGUAUGAAGAAAAUGAAGCAAUGAUUAGAAAUUGGUCCCUCGGCCGGGCACAAUGGCUCAUGCCUGUAAUCCCAUCACUUUGGCAGGCCGAGGCGGGUGGAUCACCUGAGGUCAGGAGUUUGAGACCAGCCUGACCAAUGUGGUGAAACGCCAUCUCUACUAAAAAUACAAAAAUUAGCUGGGUGUGAUGGUGCACACCUGUAAUCCAGCUACUCGGGAGGCUGAGACAGGAGAAUUGCUUGAACCUGGGAGGCAGAGGUUGCAGUGAGCCAAGAUCACCCCACUGCAUUCCAGGUUGGGCAACAGAGCAAGACUCUGUCUCAAAAAAAAAAGAAGAAAGAAAGAAAUUGAUCCCUCAUAAUAGGCUGUAUAGCAGAUUCUACUGCAAAGGCUAUGGUUGCACAACAGACUUCUUUGAAUUUGCUUGCUAAACUUUUACUGGAUAAUACUGGGAUUACAGGUGUGAGCCACUGUGCCCAGCCUCUCCUGUUUAACUGUAUUCAUUCUAAUGUUUACUUACUUCUUUAAUUUGUAAAAUUGGGUCACUUAGAGUUUUUUUAGCCUAUCUUGCCAUUUAGCCACUGUUACUGAUAAUUUGGAUGGAAAAGAAAAAUAAAUUAUAUCACCUCUCAUCUUCAGUGUAUAUAUGUGUUAACUUAGUAAAUAUAGUAUUCUUUCUCGUUCCUAAUGAAAAUUUAGUUUACGUACUGAAACACUGCAAACUUUUAUAAAUAUUGUGAUGUAUUUGACCAAUACAAAGGAUCUUUUUAGAAACAGCAAACAGUUCUCAGAUUAUAGGAAUUACUCAUUUAAUGAUAGUUUCUUCUU